UACGUAGGGGGCAAGCGUUGUCCGGAAUCAUUGGGCGUAAAGCGCGCGUAGGCGGCCCGGUCAGUCCGUUGUGAAAGUCGAAGGCUCAACCUUCGAAUGCCGAUGGAUACUGCCGGGCUAGAGUACGGAAGAGGCGAGUGGAAUUCCUGGUGUAGCGGUGGAAUGCGCAGAUAUCAGGAGGAACACCAAUAGCGAAGGCAGCUCGCUGGGACGUUACUGACGCUGAGGCGCGAAAGCGUGGGGAGCGAACAGGAUUAGAAACCCCCGUAGUCC
rnacentral:rRNA from 1 species